rnacentral:rRNA from 1 species
GCCCAGAACACACCACCCUGAAAGCAUCUGAUCUCAGAAGCCAACCAGGUCUAGGCCUGGUUAGUACCUGUAUAAUGGAACACCUGGGAGUACCAGGUGUUGUAGGCU